rnacentral:lncRNA from 1 species
CAAACUGUUGGGAUUAAAGGCAUGAGCCACUGAAACCAGCUCCCAUUUAUAUGUUCAGCAAAUACUUUCUGAGCAUCUUUUCUUUGCAAAGCAUUACUGCGCGUUGAGAAUACAGCAGGGACCAAGAUGGACAUGCUCACUGCCCUCACAGAGAUUAGUUAAGUGAGGGCCACAGAGAAGAAAACAAGCAAUUCUAACAUAGGCAGGAUCCAUGCAGUGACUGAGAAAGCCAUAAGGAUCUGGGAAAAGGGGAGGGACAGGCUCCUGAUGUGGAAGAAGAGGUGGGAGAAGUUAGUGGGUGAAGACAAGCUGAGGUGAGUAAGGUGCAGGGAGCGAGGGGGAAGGGUUUCCCAGCUCAGGCUCACCCUAAGCAGAACAAGCAUAACACAUCAAAUGUCCAGCUCCCAGUUCCAUCCAGCUGGACGUAGAACUUAUCGUCAACAGAUGAAACUAGACAGUCAAGCAGCAGCCCAGAUAAGACAGCAGUCAGAUAAGACAGCAGUCAGAUAAGACGGGUCUUUUACACUUUACCAAGUGGCUCGAACUUUACCCUCAGGUCAUUGAGAAACAACAGGGAAGGGAGACUUUAUUUAUUUUUUUAACUUACUUUAUUUUUUAAUGUUUUGUUUUAAUUUGUGUAGGUACAUAAUAGGUGUACAUGUUUAUGGGUACAUGAGGUAUUUGAAUAUAGGUAUGCAAUGCAUAAAAAUCACAUCAUGGAAAAUGGGGCAUUCAUCUCCUCGAACGUUUAUCCUUUGUGUUACAAACAACCCAAUUAAUCUCUUUUACUUAUUUUCAAAUGUAUAAUUCUAUUAUUGUUGACUAUAGUCACCCUGUUGUGCUAUCAAAUACUAGGUCUUAUUCAUCCUUUCUAACUAUGUUUUUUGUAUCUAUUAACCAUCCCCACCUCUCACACACCCUCCCACUAUGGGAAGGAGGGUUAUUUAUUUAUUUAUUUUUGAGACAGAGGCUUGCUCUGUCACCCAGGCUGGAGUGCAGUGGCAUGAUCUCAGCUCACUGCAAACUCCACCUCCUGGGUUCAAGCAAUUCUCCUGUCUCAGCCUCCUAAGUAGCUGGGAUUAGAGGUGCCCACCACCACGCCUGGCUAAUUUUUAUAUUUUUAGUAGAGAUGGGGUUUCACCAUAUUGGCCAGGCUGGUCUUGAACUCCUGACCUCAAGUGACCCUCCUGCCUGGGCCUCCCAAAGUGCUGGGAUUACAAGCAUGAGUCACUGUGCCCAGCCAGGAAGGAGGAUUUUAAAUAGGCAUGUGACACAGCCCAGUUUGUAGUUUAGAAGGAUCCUCGUGGCUUUGGUGUGACAAGCAGAUGAGAGCUGGGCAAGACUAGAGAUUGAGAGCCAGAAAGAAGACUCUCAUUGUCUGAAGGAAAAAAAAACAACAUGCCAGGCUUACUGACAGAAGCUUUUACAGGAAACAAAACCCACGACAACUUCUCUCGUCAAGGGCUCUUCAGACUGUUUCUAAACACUCACAGGAAGGCCAGGCUGACAUUUUACACAUGAUUGACUGAGAGCGCUAUGCUUGCUUCUGGAUAUGUGCGUGCUUGUAUACGUGUGCAACUGUGUGUGUGCACGCAUAUGCCUGCAUGCAAGCCUACGGGUGCUUACCUGGUCCUGUAGCUCAGCCUAAACAAAGAUUCAGACUUGCUUAUGCAUAAAUAAUGAGUUGGCGGGGCCAGAAGCUGCCUAGGGUCUAUUUAUAUAGAUUGAUUUGCAUGUGCCAAGGGGAAUUGGGAAGAUACAGUGGAGAAGACAGCCUGGUGAUUGGUUCAGGGGCCAGGAUAGCAGCUGAACCCAUGCAAUCCUCCCUGAGACUUUAGUGAGUCUGCAAGGAAUGAGCCCUCUCUGUUUGCAAGACCUCCAAGGCCAGCAGGAUAAAAGCUUGGCAACCGUGAAGUGAGAGUCAUCCUUAGAAUGAAGCCAGCACAGAGGAGAGCAGAAGAAGGAUGGAGAGAGAGACUAGUCCUAAUGUCCUUGUGUGGUGGCUUGGCUAGCACCUGCUGUGCCUAUCUUCCCACUGGGAGCCUUAGUCUCAUGCCCAGUUGAUCCCUCCCCUGGUGUCAACUAAGCUUGAGUUGGAUUAUCUGCUACUUGCUGAUGCUCCACUCACAGUCUCCCUGCAUUAUCCCAGCACCUGAGACAUUUCUGAUUAGAUUGGCAUCCAUGGGGGUGUGAAAGUCACAUUCUCAGAGAAAGAAAGUGAUGAACCACCUGUACUGCAGAACCCACCAGUAACAACCCCACCCUACACCCUAGUCCAGGUUCCUCAGCUGUCUGUCAAAUCCAGGAGCCAGGACACCAGGUGGAGUCCUGCAACCUUUUGCAAUCUCUGUGUCAGAGGUAUUAGAACAAGAAUGACUCCAUCUUGAAAACAGGCUGGGUAGAAUGAGGCUUAGACUUACUGGGCUGCAUUCCCAAGAGGUUAAGGCAUUCCUAGUCACAGAAUGAGAUAGACGGUUGGCACAAGAUACAGAUCAUAAAGACCUUACUGAUAAAACAGGUUGCAGUUAAGAAGCCGGCCAAAACCCAUCAAAACCAAGAUGGUGACAAGAGUGACCUCUGGUCAUCCUCACAGCUCAUUAUAAGCUAGUUACAAUAUAUUAGCAUGCUAAAAGACACUCCCACCAGUGCUGUGACAGUUUACAGAUGCCAUGGCAACAUCAGGAAAUUACCCUAUAUGGUCUAAAAAGGCUAAGAACCCUCAGUUCUGGGAGUUGUCCACUCCUUACUGUGAAAACUCAUGAAGAAUCAACCUCUUGUUUAGCAUAUAAUCAAGAAAUAACCAUAAAAAUGGGCAACCAGAAGCUCUUGAGAAUGCUCUGCCUAGGGAGUAGCCAUUCUUUUAUUCCUUUACUGUCUUAAUAAACUUGCUUUCACUGUAUG